rnacentral:misc_RNA from 1 species
GUCUUUGGUUUGUUUUUUGGUUUUGUAUAUGGGGGAAAAAAAAGGGUGGAAAAAAAGGGGGGUUGUGUUGGGAGAAGAAAAAAAGAAUCGUGGGCUUUUUCGUGGUGGUGGAAGAAAAGAGGAAAGGAGGGGGGCUGGCGAACACAAGAUUCGCAAGGACCCCCCCCCGUCUUUCCCUCCAGGAAAAAAAAAAAGCCCACAAUCGAGCACACAAAGAGGGUGUAGGGGGGUAAAUAUCAGAGUAUUUCACUGAUGAUCCUUCCGCAGGUUCACCUACGGAAA